CGGGGCCGGAAGGCUUCGAUCCUACAUUACAUUAGUUAACAGCUAACACGCUCACCAUUAAGCAACAGCCCC
rnacentral:tRNA from 1 species